rnacentral:misc_RNA from 1 species
GAAAUGCGAUAAGUAAUGUGAAUUGCAGAAUUCAGUGAAUCAUCGAAUCUUUGAACGCACCUUGCGCUCCUUGGUAUUCCUUGGAGCAUCCCUGUUUGAGUAUCAUGAAAUCUUCAAAGUAAAUCUUUUGUUAACUCAAUUGGUUUCUACUUUGGUAUUGGAGGUCUUUGCAGCUUCACACCUGCUCCUCUUUGUUCAUUAGCUGGAUCUCAGUGUUAUGCUUGGUUCCACUCGGCGUGAUAAGUUAUCUAUCGCUGAGGACACUGUAAAAGGUGGCCAAGGUAAAUGCAGAUGAACCGCUUCUAAUAGUCCAUUGACUUGGACAAUACUUUUAUGAUCUGAUCUCAAAUCAGGUAGGACUACCCGCUGAACUUAAGC